rnacentral:rRNA from 1 species
UGAACGCUGGCGGCAUGCUUACACAUGCAAGUCGAACGGUAACAGGUCUUCGGAUGCUGACGAGUGGCGAACGGGUGAGUAAUACAUCGGAACGUGCCCGAGAGUGGGGGAUAACGAAGCGAAAGCUUUGCUAAUACCGCAUACGAUCUCAGGAUGAAAGCAGGGGACCGCAAGGCCUUGCGCUCACGGAGCGGCCGAUGGCAGAUUAGGUAGUUGGUGGGAUAAAAGCUUACCAAGCCGACGAUCUGUAGCUGGUCUGAGAGGACGACCAGCCACACUGGGACUGAGACACGGCCCAGACUCCUACGGGAGGCAGCAGUGGGGAAUUUUGGACAAUGGGCGCAAGCCUGAUCCAGCCAUGCCGCGUGCAGGAUGAAGGCCUUCGGGUUGUAAACUGCUUUUGUACGGAACGAAAAGACUCUGGUUAAUACCUGGGGUCCAUGACGGUACCGUAAGAAUAAGCACCGGCUAACUACGUGCCAGCAGCCGCGGUAAUACGUAGGGUGCGAGCGUUAAUCGGAAUUACUGGGCGUAAAGCGUGCGCAGGCGGUUAUGUAAGACAGAUGUGAAAUCCCCGGGCUCAACCUGGGAACUGCAUUUGUGACUGCAUAGCUAGAGUACGGCAGAGGGGGAUGGAAUUCCGCGUGUAGCAGUGAAAUGCGUAGAUAUGCGGAGGAACACCGAUGGCGAAGGCAAUCCCCUGGGCCUGUACUGACGCUCAUGCACG